rnacentral:rRNA from 1 species
GGUGAACGCUGGCGGUAGGCCUAACACAUGCAAGUCGAACGGCAGCACAGUAAGAGCUUGCUCUUACGGGUGGCGAGUGGCGGACGGGUGAGGAAUACAUCGGAAUCUACUUUUUCGUGGGGGAUAACGUAGGGAAACUUACGCUAAUACCGCAUACGACCUACGGGUGAAAGCAGGGGAUCUUCGGACCUUGCGCGAUUGAAUGAGCCGAUGUCGGAUUAGCUAGUUGGCGGGGUAAAGGCCCACCAAGGCGACGAUCCGUAGCUGGUCUGACAGGAUGAUCAGCCACACUGGAACUGAGACACGGUCCAGACUCCUACGGGAGGCAGCAGUGGGGAAUAUUGGACAAUGGGCGCAAGCCUGAUCCAGCCAUACCGCGUGGGUGAAGAAGGCCUUCGGGUUGUAAAGCCCUUUUGUUGGGAAAGAAAAGCAGCAGGUUAAUACCCCGCUGUUCUGACGGUACCCAAAGAAUAAGCACCGGCUAACUUCGUG